rnacentral:rRNA from 1 species
UGAACGCUAGCUACAGGCUUAACACAUGCACGUCGAGGGGCAGCAUGGUCUUAGCUUGCUAAGGCCGAUGGCGACCGGCGCACGGGUGAGUAACACGUAUCCAACCUGCCGUCUACUCUUGGACAGCCUUCUGAAAGGAAGAUUAAUACAAGAUGGCAUCAUGAGUCCGCAUGUUCACAUGAUUAAAGGUAUUCCGGUAGACGAUGGGGAUGCGUUCCAUUAGAUAGUAGGCGGGGUAACGGCCCACCUAGUCUUCGAUGGAUAGGGGUUCUGAGAGGAAGGUCCCCCACAUUGGAACUGAGACACGGUCCAAACUCCUACGGGAGGCAGCAGUGAGGAAUAUUGGUCAAUGGGCGAGAGCCUGAACCAGCCAAGUAGCGUGAAGGAUGACUGCCCUAUGGGUUGUAAACUUCUUUUAUAAAGGAAUAAAGUCGGGUAUGCAUACCCGUUUGCAUGUACUUUAUGAAUAAGGAUCGGCUAACUCCGUGCCAGCAGCCGCGGUAAUACGGAGGAUCCGAGCGUUAUCCGGAUUUAUUGGGUUUAAAGGGAGCGUAGAUGGAUGUUUAAGUCAGUUGUGAAAGUUUGCGGCUCAACCGUAAAAUUGCAGUUGAUACUGGAUAUCUUGAGUGCAGUUGAGGCAGGCGGAAUUCGUGGUGUAGCGGUGAAAUGCUUAGAUAUCACGAAGAACUCCGAUUGCGAAGGCAGCCUGCUAAGCUGCAACUGACAUUGAGGCUCGAAAGUGUGGGUAUCAAACAGGAUUAGAUACCCUGGUAGUCCACACGGUAAACGAUGAAUACUCGCUGUUUGCGAUAUACUGCAAGCGGCCAAGCGAAAGCGUUAAGUAUUCCACCUGGGGAGUACGCCGGCAACGGUGAAACUCAAAGGAAUUGACGGGGGCCCGCACAAGCGGAGGAACAUGUGGUUUAAUUCGAUGAUACGCGAGGAACCUUACCCGGGCUUAAAUUGCAGAUGAAUUACGGUGAAAGCCGUAAGCCGCAAGGCAUCUGUGAAGGUGCUGCAUGGUUGUCGUCAGCUCGUGCCGUGAGGUGUCGGCUUAAGUGCCAUAACGAGCGCAACCCUUGUUGUCAGUUACUAACAGGUUCCGCUGAGGACUCUGACAAGACUGCCAUCGUAAGAUGUGAGGAAGGUGGGGAUGACGUCAAAUCAGCACGGCCCUUACGUCCGGGGCUACACACGUGUUACAAUGGGGGGUACAGAGGGCCGCUACCACGCGAGUGGAUGCCAAUCCCCAAAACCUCUCUCAGUUCGGACUGGAGUCUGCAACCCGACUCCACGAAGCUGGAUUCGCUAGUAAUCGCGCAUCAGCCACGGCGCGGUGAAUACGUUCCCGGGCCUUGUACACACCGCCCGUCAAGCCAUGGGAGCCGGGGGUACCUGAAGUGCGUAACCGCGAGGAGCGCCCUAGGGUAAAACUGGUGACUGGGGCUAAG